AUUGAACGCUGGCGGCAUGCCUUACACAUGCAAGUCGAACGGCAGCACGGGAGCAAUCCUGGUGGCGAGUGGCGAACGGGUGAGUAAUAUAUCGGAACGUGCCCAGUCGUGGGGGAUAACGUAGCGAAAGCUACGCUAAUACCGCAUACGAUCUAUGGAUGAAAGCGGGGGAUCGCAAGACCUCGCGCGAUUGGAGCGGCCGAUAUCAGAUUAGGUAGUUGGUGAGGUAAAGGCUCACCAAGCCGACGAUCUGUAGCUGGUCUGAGAGGACGACCAGCCACACUGGGACUGAGACACGGCCCAGACUCCUACGGGAGGCAGCAGUGGGGAAUUUUGGACAAUGGGCGCAAGCCUGAUCCAGCAAUGCCGCGUGCAGGAUGAAGGCCUCGGUUGUAACUGACUUUUGUUACGGUAACGAACGGUAGAGCUCUAAUACAGUUUGCUAAUGACGGUACCGUAA
rnacentral:rRNA from 1 species